rnacentral:ncRNA from 1 species
UCCUAAAAUAUGGGGAAUCCUUGUAUCAAGGGUGCACUCUGCAUAAACAUCGAAAGUGAAUUGGUUUAAUAUUCUCGAACCGGGACAUGGUGGUGGAUGACAAUGUUAGGAAAUCUGGAGAUGUCAUCGGGGGCCUAGGAAGAGUUAUCUUUUCUUUUUAACGACUUUCCCACCCUAAAAUCGGUUCAACCAGAGAUAGGUUCCAACAUCUGGAAUAGCACCACACGUAUUGCGGUGUUUGGUGCUCCUUGGCGACCAUUGAAAAUAUGGAGAACCGAGUACCAUCCAUGCUCUAUCGUACUCAUAUCUGCCUCC